rnacentral:rRNA from 1 species
UACGGGGGGGGCAAGCGUUGUUCGGAAUUACUGGGCGUAAAGGGGACGUAGGCGGCCAACUAAGUCCGACGUGAAAUCCCAAGGCUUAACCUUGGAACUGCGUCGGAUACUGGCAGGCUUGAAUUCGGGAGAGGGAUGCGGAAUUCCAGGUGUAGCGGUGAAAUGCGUAGAUAUCUGGAGGAACACCGGUGGCGAAGGCGGCAUCCUGGACCGAGAUUGACGCUGAGGCGCGAAAGCCAGGGGAGCAAAUGGG